rnacentral:rRNA from 1 species
UAAGCAUAUCAAUAAGCGGAGGAAAAGAAACUAACAAGGAUUCCCUUUAGUAACUGCGAGUGAAGAGGGAAAAGCUCAAAUUUAAAAUCUGGCAGUGUUUCACUGUCCGAGUUGUAACCUAGAGAAGUGUAACCUGUGCUGGACCGUGUACAAGUCUCCUGGAAUGGAGCAUCACAGAGGGUGAGAAUCCCGUCUUUGACAUGGACUACCAGUGCAUUGCGGUUGCGCUCUCAACGAGUCGAGUUGUUUGGGAAUGCAGCUCUAAAUGGGUGGUAAAUUCCAUCUAAAGCUAAAUAUUGGCGAGAGACCGAUAGCGAACAAGUACCGUGAGGGAAAGAUGAAAAGAACUUUGGAAAGAGAGUUAAACAGUAUGUGAAAUUGUUGAAAGGGAAACGUUUGAAGUCAGUCGCGUUGGUUGGGGAUCAGCCUGACAUUGUUGGGUGUAUUUCCUGGUCGACGGGCCAACAUCAGUUUUGACUGCCAGAAAAAGGCCAAAGGAAUGUGGCACCUUUGGGUGUGUUAUAGCCCUUGGUCGUAUAUGGUGGUUGGGACUGAGGAAAGCAGCGUGCCGAAAGGCCGGGUUUCGACCACGUUCACGCUGAGGAUGUUGGCAUAAUGGCUUUAAGCGACCCGUCUUGAAACACGGACCAAGGAGUCUAACAUGCAUGCGAGUGUUUGGGUGGAAAACCCUUACGCGUAAUGAAAGUGAAAGUUGAGAUCCCUGUCGCGGGGAGCAUCGACGCCCGGACCAGAACUUUUGGGACGGAUCUGCGGUAGAGCACGUAUGUUGGGACCCGAAAGAUGGUGAACUAUGCCUGAAUAGGGUGAAGCCAGAGGAAACUCUGGUGGAGGCUCGUAGCGAUUCUGACGUGCAAAUCGAUCGUCAAAUUUGGGUAUAGGGGCGAAAGACUAAUCGAACCAUC